rnacentral:lncRNA from 1 species
UCACAUGGUCUUUACUACUCAAUUUUGGUUCGCUGGUUACUCGAUCACAAUUUGCAAACAGUUUAAUCCUAAACAAUAAAAUGAAAACAGAACAACUACUAAAGGAAACAGGAAACUAGGAAUGCAAAUAUAUCACUGGACGGCUACGGAUAAAAUCAAGGUGAGAACGACUGUGGGGAAAGGCCUUGUUCGGGUUUUGGAUCAUCCUAAGGACUAUGAGAAACUGUUCAGCAGCAGAAUAAACUGGAACAUGGAUAAUGAUAUAUUUCGGGUCUUAAGAUCGGGUCUAUCAACUCAACGUCCUAAAACCACUUGCAACACCCACAAUUAUCCGUUCAAAUGGGCAAUCGAGAUAACAAGAUAACAAAACACAUCAUCAAUCAACAUGAAUCCACAAUCUUAUCACUACACACAAGAACAAUCCCACAAAUCCAAAGAAAUUCACAAAACCCAAACAAGAAGAAAACCUAUUUCUCCAUAGAAGAUGUAGAGAAAGUUUCAAACCGCCAAUACAUCGAAGUAGAAGGUAAAUCCUCUGUUGGGCUUCGAUUAAUCGGCUAUUUGGCUUCAAAUCUUCAUUCCCAUGGUGUGCACAGGCUCCUAAGCACUCCCCCUUCGCCAAUUUUCUUUUAGGUCUUCAUUUUCUAUCUUCUUUCCUUCUGAAAUCGUUUCAAACUUUUCUAAUAGGCCGUUAACAGUUUUCCAUUUCUUGAUGAGUUUGCUACUAAAUAGUAAAUAGGAAUACUAAUCUCAUUUAUGAUUCCUAUUUACAUUCAUUUUAUGGUUAAUAGAUCAAUUUCUAAAGUUGAUGACUUGGCAAUUGAAAAUUGCUAAAUAACUUUUGGGAUGGAGAUGAUCUUAUAUCUUCAUUAAUAAUAUUUUUCCACCAAUAAAAAUACAUAAUUCAUAAUAUAAAUCUAAAUCGUAAAUGUUGUUUUCUUAAAAAGUGGUCAAUUUGCCUAUGUGGCAUUGCUAUGGACUUUCUAAUUUAGAAAGCUUGUUAAUUUAUCAAGCUUAUGUGGAGCCAUAUUAAUUGUUAAUUAGGUGCCACCUCACCCGCUACAUCAUUUUAGCAAUUGCUAAAAUUUUGGGAUGGAGAUGCCAUAAGAUCAUCUUCAUCCCAUCAAUUGAUUAGCAAUUUCUAAUCGGAACUUU